rnacentral:misc_RNA from 1 species
AAGUCGUAACAAGGUUUCUGUAGGUGAACCUGCAGAAGGAUCAUUCAUGAAUUUGGCGUUUGCCUUUUCAUUUAUUUUUGCUAACUAUUUUUUUUUGGUUGGUACAUUGUAAAAAUAACAUUUUUUUGAGAACGCCAACCAGAGUGUUUGUCGGGAAUAGUUAAUUCCCAUCAUUCACUAGUGAUUUGUGGAGAAUAGUUAAUUCUCUAUACAUCUCACAGUGAUUGGAAAAGUUAUUUCCUAAAUCACAAGAGUUUAUUUGGCACAUAGACUCUAAAGGGUGUAACAACCUUAUACUGUGUAUUUUUAAUGUCUAAGCUGUUUUUAUAACAACACAAGACUUUUAGCAAGGGAUCUCUAGGCUCUCAUUUCGAUGAAGAACGCAGC